rnacentral:tRNA from 1 species
GCGGCAAUAGCUCAGUUGGUAGAGCACUAGCUUCCCAAGCUGGGGGUCGCGGGUUCGAGUCCCGUUUACCGCUCCA